GUUCCCUUAAUAAGUUUGGGCCCGCUUAUCAUACACACAUGUGGUAGACAUCAAAUUAUAUAUAUUUUGGGUAACUAGAGAACGGACUAAAGUUGAGGUUUAUUGAUAAAAUCAUUUGCCAUCGAUGCAAUCUUGUGAAAUAUUGAGUAAUCAUAUAAAACAAAGCGAUAUUUUUCAACAAAUAGUUGUACUGUUCUGAAAUUUAGGCAGUAUAUAUCAUCGACCCCCCUAGUAAAAUUCUUGGAGGAAAUGCAGUUGGAGGAGGGGAAUGGUAACAGGCCAAUGUCUGCAAGUCGCACACACAUUUGAUAUGAUCGACCAAUCAUGUCCAGUAGGAAAAGGAGACACCGAGAGUUCGAUGCGGUUGCAACCGUACAGCUCAAUCAGACUGUGAAGAACAGACUGCGAGCCAACCAAAUGAGAUCCAGCGUGGCAAGCAUGUGCAUCUCUUAAUUUGCAUCGGUGGCUGAUGUAGCAAAAUGGAAACGUAGCUUCCUUUAAAAUUGACCGUGAUUGAAAUUAGGGGUGCAUAAGGAUUAUAUAUAUAUGUUUAUAUUUAUUGGUAUUU
rnacentral:lncRNA from 1 species